GCCAGCAGCCAUAUCACCCUGCAGCUCUCAACUGGCUACCCACUGAAGCCAAGCAGGGUUGAGCCUGUUAAGUACAUGGAUGGGGGACCUCCUGGGAAGUUAUGGUUGCUGCCGCAA
rnacentral:rRNA from 1 species